GCUGCACUCUCAGGGGACGAACCGAUUGGAGUAGGACUCGAUGGGCUACUGCUCGACGGGAAAAUCCCGGGACUUUCCGCCGGCGUUUUUGAACUCGAAGGAAUAUCAGCCGAAACAGGUGGAGCCCCGGCCGGAGUCAUUGAUGGAGGUGAACUAGUUGGAGUCAAUGAAGGCGGAGAACUUGAAGGAGUCGACGCCGGAGGAGAAGCAGUUGGGGGAGAAAUCGAUGGGCUAGAAGAAGAAGGCGGAGUCGCAGCCGGUGGUUGGAUCUGUGGAGGAGGAGUAGUAGUCGGAGAUUUUGCAGGCGACGAUGAUGUUGUUGGAGAACUCGCGGGAGGCGAUGAUGUUGUU
rnacentral:lncRNA from 1 species